CUCUCUUCCCCAUGUAGCAUCUCUCUCUCUUCCCCCCAUGUAGCAUCUCUCUCUGUGGAGGUGUUGAAAAGAUAGAGAUGCCUACUAUCUUUCCAGGGACGUAAAUGAUCCUCCAUUUUCUGUUGAAAAUACGACAAUGAUGCCUCCCUCUCUCUCUCUCUCUCAAUUGAACCAUCGACUGCCUAUUCUGGUAUGUCAUUUGUCUUACUUACCUCUCUUUCUCUCUCAUGUUUUCAAUAUGUUCACCUUUUUCUCUCCCCCUCCCCCUCUCUCUCUCCAUUGUACUGUGAAAUUCUGCAGUUCUGAUCUAUCAUGCCUCCUACGUACCCCUCUCUCUCUGCAAUGUACAGCUGAGUCCUCUGGUUUACCUGCUAUGGCAUUUCUACCUCUCUCUCUGAAGAUGCGAUUCCCAUUUGAUAGGGACAGUGUGCUGCAAAAAGUAAGCUGCUUACUGAUUAAAGCAAGAUAAAUGCACUCUGUGUACCCUAACCCCAACCCUUCCAUUUGCACCAUUUCAGCAAUAAAACAAACCCUGAGCUAUUCAUUUAUGAAUUAUGACCCCCCAUCUCUCUCUCUCUCUCUAACCCUUUUAUCUCUUUUCCUUGUCACCUUUUCCUGCAGCUCUUCACGCUUAUCUAAGCAACAGAUGGCUAGUUCUCAAAGGGGACCAUUUGGGAUCUGCAAGUCCUCAAAGACCCAACGUCUUGCCAUGGAUAAGAACCCCAAAAAUCGGUUAGUUAGGGUUAGGGUUUCGCUUCAAGGCCUGGUACCGUUGAAAUAAGGCUUGGAUGUCUUAGGGUUAGGGUUUCGACGACAACUCAAAUGUUAUCAUGGCACAAAAGUUUGGGAUUGUUGGGCUUCUGUUUACAGCUUUGAUUGGGUUUUCUCCUUCAUUGUCCUUUUGAAGUUCUGGGUUCACUGGAAUAUAGGCCUUAGCUCAUACCACCAUAUGAAACUUUGGGUUUCUUAGAUUUAGGGUUUUUGAGAUAGGUAGUAUAGUAUCAAUACUCAACAGGAUGAGGAGUUUCUGGGGAAGAGAAAAUAACUGUACUGGUUUUCGCUUUCAUUUUGAAUUGUUUUUUGAUUUUGGUACUGAUACUAGUCAAUAACCAUGAAGCAAGUACUGCAAUAAUCGUCGGAUGAGCAGGCGCCUGAUAAAUGGGGUCAUUUUGUCUGGUUCCUAUAUGGUUAUUGGGUUGUAUAAGUAGUUUUCUUACUUGGAACUGACCUCUUGUGUGAAAAGGAAGGAUGCUACUGGAGUUUGGGCUGUGUCUCCCAAAGGAAAGGAAUUUAUUGUCCCAUUGAAGAAGAAGAAAGAAAACAAAAUAGCAUGCAAUUGUGGUUUUAAUCCCUGGGCUUGACUAGAAGGAAUGAGCACAAAUUUCAACUGGAAUGUCCCUCUUGUUGUUGGUAACAUGAGGUUGUGAGUUUGACACAGCUUAUCUUCCCAAACGAAAAUAAGCUCCAAAUGUUGCACAUCAUUUGGCGAAAUCCAUCCAUGGAGGACCAUAGAGCCAAAUUUUUGAGAGACAUUGUUUGAGUUGUUCGACUUGACCGCACCGGUGCGAGUGUACACACGUGCAAUUGUGUAGACCCACAAUUCAUGAUUCCACACGCGUCUGCGUUCGUGAAUGCCACAUAUAUGCAUAUUCAUGUGUGGGUAUGCUUUCCUGUUCACAUGCUCAUGCUUGUGUUACAUGAAAAAGGAUAGCAAUGUAAAUGAAUGGACAUCAAGUGGGUAUGCUCUGGCAUGUCUUUAUUCCUUAUGGUUUAUCUCAUGAUGGUAGUGACCUGAAUUUGGCUGGAUUCAAAUUGAUCCUUACAGAGUUGCAUGCCUUAUGACACUAGGGAAAGUUGUGGUCCUCUAUGCUUGAUGGAUGCUAUAAAGAAGUGAGGUAGGUCCCCAAUCUAAAACCUAGCUCUGUUGAUUUUUCUAUUAGAUCUCCAUACAUAUCUAUUUAGAGCGCUCAUGGGGUUCAGAUCAGUCCUCUAAGAUCUUCCUUGUUGGAAGUAUUUAUUGAAUUCUUUAUUCCAUCCUUUUCAAAGAGCCUAGCCAUUUGAUUUGGUUGCUUCCUAUUGCUCGGUAGAUGAUUGACGCCAAACGUUUUAACUAGUAGAUGAGUAAAGAUGUCCUUAUCUUGAUCAGAAAGAUGGCAACCGUAAAACCGAAAAGCUAGCCAUUUCUGUAAAAGAUCACUAAAUUGAGUAUCACUUUGACACACACGAUAUCAAGCAAUUACUGCUAGAUCAAAUUCAUUUGGAAAAUAAUAAAAUUUAAUGAAAUCCCCAAAAUAAACAUUGUUGAACUCAAGAAGUUGGUUUCUAAUUUUGACUCGGUGUCCGGAUUAUCUACAAUGAUAGUUCUGCACUCUUACUCUUGAAUUAUUGUCAUCUUUUAGUCAUUUUAAUCACAAUCGUGCUUCAUCACAUGGUCCCAUGCAGCACUUCCAAUACUUAGAGCUUUAGUGGUCCCAAUUCCAAAAGGAUGUAAGUUCCUUCGCUGUAAAAAUAUUUAUUAGUUAUUCAGUAGGUAUAUGUUCCCUGCAACAUAGUAACAGAUUCGCUAGGAUUGAUGCCAAGAUUGUAGAAAUAUCACUCCUAUUAAUUUAGGAUUUGAUAACAGAUUUUUUUUAACAUUGUACUUAAAAUAAAUGGGCUUUUGAAUCAUGUUUCUCUAGGAUAGUAUGUUCAAAGGUGUGGUUGUCUCAUAUUCCUGCAGAUGUUAUAAGAUUAAAUAGGUAGAAUGAUAGACCCUAUUCAACAAAAGAAAAUAGGAAAAAAUAUGUGUGAACUAUGUGAUGGUGAUGCCUAUUAGUAAAAACUAAUGAAUUGACCAUUGUCCGAGUUCGAUAAGUAUAAAUGCGGUCCACGUGUCCUUAGAUGAGCCUCAUCUUUUCUGUUUCUUUCCCAUUCAAGUCUAGAACAUGAAUUUCAAGCAUCUUCUCUUUACCAAAUUGUUCUAUAUAUCUGCCCUAAAUUUCAGAAUAUCAAUUCUUUACCUUGAAUUGUGUUCCUAUUACUACCGAUAUAGAUAGUUAACAGAAAGACUUGUGAGCUUUAAGGAGCAUUAUCAAAUCAUAUGAACAAGAUCAUCGAGAUUCAAGUAAAAGUAUAUCAUUGAGAAGUGCCAGUCGGUCAUUGUACGGCUUCUUCGAUCCAAUUUUGCAGAAAAUCCUUUCAUGAAUCAUUUCAAGAUAGUGAUAUCAAUCAGGGGAAUCUGGAGCUGAAGUAUUCUUCUUGCCAAUAGUAGUUCUAUGCAGAUUUAGAUGAUAAUUUGGUGAAUGAUGAGGCCCAUAAGAUGAUAAGAGAUUCAAGAUUGAAAGCUUCAGUGACAAAGCAAGAAGAUGGAAUUGAUGAUGGCAAUAAGAAUAAGGGAUCGUCUAGCUCAAAGCCAUGGUCAGGGCCUAGGGAUCCUCGAAUAGUGCGUGUCUCGCGUACUUUUGGUGGAAAAGAUAGACAUAGUAAAGUUAGUACAAUUAAAGGAUUGAGAGAUAGGCGUGUGAGGCUUUCGGUUCCAACUGCUAUCCAAUUAUAUGAUCUACAAGAGAGGCUUGGUUUCAAUCAACCUAGCAAAGUUGUGGACUGGUUACUUGCAGCUGCUCGACAUGAAAUUGAUGAACUCCCCCCACUCCAAUUCGAACAAGCAAACUUUCACAAUGAUCCUUCACCUCAACUUAUUUUUCAAGAAAUCACCAAACCUCUAGCCUCUUCUAAUUCUGCUUCAGAUAGUUUGGUUGGUUUCAAGGACACCGGAGCUUGUUCCUUAAGCUUGUUCUCUAGCAACAAAAAUGUAACGAGCAGUGAUGCUACAAUUGGAGGCGACCAAACAAACUUACAGAGAACUUCAACUUGGAAUUUAGACUCGUUGAGAGAAAAGUCGAGUGUCAUGCCAAGAGAUAAGGACCUUGGAAAGAGCAGUUCAAGCAAAACAUAUGACCAUGAAUAUCAAGAGAACAUUCAUACCCAUGGAUCACAUGUGUUGGCUUACAAUCCAGUCCCUACACCCAAUCAAUCUUCCUUCUCAAGCGUACUAAACAAUAUGAUGCCAGGUACUUCAUACUACCAUUGGGAACAUACAAAUCCUGCUCUCUCUAAUGCAGGAAGCCAUGGAUAUCCAUCCCAAGCAAUAGAAACUCAUAAUUCUAAUACUGUGUCCUUACCUCCAUCCUUAUCUCUAGUUUCUAUGCUACAGCCUAAUAUUCGUCAAAUUUCGGCAACACCAUCGCAAUUGGCCACCUACUUCGGUGCCCCAUUAGAUCUUGCUUCUAAACAACUCAGCCACCCUCAAUUAUUGAGUAUGAAUUCUCAACAUAUGAAUCCGAACUCCCUAGGUCCACCUGUAUAUGCCAUUAGUCCAACCAUGAGACCAUUUCAAGUGAACUUUGCCAAUUACCAUAAUCCUCAUCAACGAGAUUAUGACAAUCAAUCAAAUACAUUAGCUAAGGAGACUGCUUCUUCCAGUAAUGACCAACUUGCAGAUUCUUCUUCGAUUGGUUUGCGUGGAUCAAAUGAGCAACAUUUGAUGUGAGAGGCUCCAUUGCAGUAAGUGCUUAUAGUGCCAUGCAAGUGACAUGCCAUCAAAGCUAUCUUCCAUUAAGCACGAAUGGGAAGGACAAUGCUGCAUCCCAGGUCAACAACCAAGACUCAAUCCUGAAUUGAGCAGUACUCGGUAGGUGACAUGUGGGCACAACCCUAAGCCUAAGCCUAGUUCUGGAGUCCUGGGCCUAUAAAAAGAAGUUGGAACUCUCUCUUUCCAGGGUUAAAAGUGAGACAAAAGGUAGACUGUCCCAUUAUUAUUGCGCAGGAUCCUAGGGCAAAUAACAAGUGGAGAAGGGUGGGGCUAAUGAGAAGGAAAGGGCAUCAACUAUGAAAAAGUGGUGGUCCUCACCUCUGUGCAUAGGGACCACUGGUGGGACCACACGCUUUUCCCGUGGUCCCCAAUCCCCAAUCUCACGCGACCUCUCUCUGAUAAAUAUAACUGCUUCUCAGUUCUCAGUAAAAAGAAAAUAACAAAAAAAUUUCUUGAUUCUUAGUAACGCAUGAAUGCUCUCAAGCG